UGACUUACCUGGCAGGGGAGAUACCAUGAUUAUGAAGGUGGUUUUCCCAGGGUGAGUCUUAUCCAUUGCACUCUGGAUGUGCACCCUGUGAUUUCCCCAAAUGUGGGAAAUUCGACUGCAUAAUUUGUAGGGCUGCAUUUGUGCUCUCCCUGA
rnacentral:snRNA from 1 species